UAAAUCAGUUAUCGUUUAUUUGAUAGUACCUUACUACUUGGAUACCCGUGGUAAUUCUAGAGCUAAUACAUGCAAAAAACCCCGACUUCGGGAGGGGUGUAUUUAUUAGAUAAAAAACCAAUGCCCUUCGGGGCUCCUUGGUGAUUCAUAAUAACUUAACGGAUCGCAUGGCCUUGCGCCGGCGACGGUUCAUUCAAAUUUCUGCCCUAUCAACUUUCGAUGGUAAGGUAUUGGCUUACCAUGGUUUCAACGGGUAACGGAUUUUUAGGGAAAGAUCCCGGAGAGGGAGCCUGAGAAACGGCUACCACAUCCAAGGAAGGCAGCAGGCGCGCAAAUUACCCAAUCCCGACACGGGGAGGUAGUGACAAUAAAUACUGAUACAGGGCUCUUUUGGGUCUUGUAAUCGGAAUGAGUACAAUUUAAAUACCUUAACGAGGAACAAUUGGAGGGCAAGUCUGGUGCCAGCAGCCGCGGUAAUUCCAGCUCCAAUAGCGUAUAUUAAAGUUGUUGCAGUUAAAAAGCUCGUAGUUGAACCUUGGGCCUGGCUGGUCGGUCCGCCUCACCGCGUGUACUGAUCCGGCCGGGCCUUUCCUUCUGGAGAACCGCAUGCCCUUCACUGGGUGUGUCGGGGAACCAGGACUUUUACUUUGAGAAAAUUAGAGUGUUCAAAGCAGGCCUUUGCUCGAAUACGUUAGCAUGGAAUAAUAGAAUAGGACGUGCGGUCCUAUUUUGUUGGUUUCUAGAACCGCCGUAAUGAUUAAUAGGGAUAGUCGGGGGCGUCAGUAUUCAAUUGUCAGAGGUGAAAUUCUUGGAUCUAUUGAAGACUAACUACUGCGAAAGCAUUCGCCAAGGAUGUUUUCAUUAAUCAGUGAACGAAAGUUAGGGGAUCGAAGACGAUCAGAUACCGUCGUAGUCUUAACCGUAAACUAUGCCGACUAGGGAUCGGGCGAUGUUUCUAUAUUGACUCGCUCGGCACCUUACGAGAAAUC
rnacentral:rRNA from 1 species